AAAUUGUUAAAAUUUGCUUUUCCAGGUUUUGAGACAAGCAGCAUAGGCUUCUGUUCUGCCGUCUUGCUCCACCCUGCCAAGAUAUUAUUUCAGAAGAGUCAAAGACUAAAAGGCGGGCCACGCGCGGUGGCUCAAGCCUAUAAUCCCAGCACUUUGGGAGGCCGAGGCGGGUGGAUCACGAGGUCAAGAGAUCGAGACCAUCCUGGUCAACAUGAGAAAAUGACAGAGGAACCUACACCCUGGAAUGUAUUCAAGUUUUCUCUGAGGAAUGUAGAAAAAGGGUCUCGCCCUGUCGCCCUGACUGGAGUGCAAGGGCACAAUCUUGGCUCACUGCAACCUCCACCUCCCAGGUGCAACCGAUUCUCCUGCCUCAGCCUCCUGAGUAGCUGGGAUUACGGGUGCCCACCACCAUGCCUGGCUAAUAUUUUGAAUCUUUAGUAGAGACAGGGUUUCACCAUGUUGGCCAGGCUGAUCUCGAACUCCUAACCUCGCCUGCCUAGGCCUUCCAAAGUGCUGCGAUUACAGACAUGAGCCACUGC
rnacentral:lncRNA from 1 species